rnacentral:tRNA from 1 species
GCCCUGGUGGCUCAGAUGGUAAAGCGUCUGUCUACAAUGCAGGAGACCCGGGUUCGAUCCCUGGGUUGGGAA